UCCACAGUAGCUCAGUGGUAGAGCUAUCGGCUGUUAACCGAUCGGUCGUAGGUUCGAGUCCUACCUAUGGAGCCA
rnacentral:tRNA from 1 species